UGUUAAAAGUGAACGUCCAAAUCAUCAUAUAAUCCGAAUCUCGGGAGAUAACGAAAAGACUCUAAAGGAGUUUAGGAUCUAACAUGACAGCUUAAGAGCCGAGGACAGGAACGGGGUUAACUGGUAAUCAACGCAGGCUGAACAGAGCUUCAGAUGGCAACGUCCGCUUCUCAACUGUCUAGUAAUCGCAGGGUACCUGCGAGCUUGACAAGGCAGGCAACUGAUGGUAACAAAGAGGCUGUUGAAGCAAAAGUGACUCUUUCGCCUGCUUGGGUGGCCCAAUACAUCGCUAGCCUCGUCGUUUGCUGCAGCACACAUCAAAAAGUCCUGGGAGUGUUGGGGUGGACAGUUUCGUUUGUUUGCUUCCGGUUGUCUUCUUGAAAGGAUGACAACCCGAAGGAAGGGAAAAAAUAGAGACUCGAAGAGAACUCGACUUAACUACCACGAUACAGAAAUGAUAUCACUGCUCAUACCUGAGUCGAAUGUGGUAAAAAUUUAUUUUUGCAUAAGCGGUCGCUCAUAAGAGAGUGCUUAGUUAGCAUUGUUAUUAUCGUCAUUGCAAUUUCGACUAGUUUAUGAAUCGGUCGGUAGGAAAAGGAUUAGCCAGCAACAAAGGAGCACGGAUCGGAACCGUGUUUUUCGUUUUGAUCUUUGAUGUUUUACCCGCGUUGCAAGAUUUACAGACGAAACAGAUCCAUUCGAAGUUGAGCAUAAAACCGAGACAAGGACUAGACGACUACUGCGCAGUCGCUGUUAUCAUGGCAUCAGAUUGAUCGACAUCCUAUUUUUAAGACGUCAAAGGGGAGGUCUUCAAUUAUGAGGCGUUUAUUGCUACUUGUCACGCAAAAAUACACAUUAACAACAACAUAUUAGAUUAUCGGACCAUUGUCGGAUUGUUUCAAUGCGGUUUCAACGAAGCGCAUCGGCUUACCAGUCUAGGACGGCAAAUCAUAAGGCCAGCAUUAGAUCGGUCCGCGGCAUAGCACAUGCAGAACGAGGAAAAGUCUACAGAAAUCAGGAAAUGUACAAAGUUGUUACCUUGUACAGCGACAUCCGUCCGACUCGUUGGCUUUCAAGACGUGAUUCGUUCGAAAAAACUAAAAGAUAUCGUUGGCUGAGGUAAUUUCUGAUGCAGCUAGCGCAACAACGACGACGAGAAAAGUUGGCCUUCAACGUCAAACAAGUCUUCUGCUCUGAGCAAGAAAAUAUGUUACAUGUUUGAUGUGGUUUGAGUCCAGUGUCUGUUGAGGUAACGGCAGAAGCCGGUAUAGCAGAAGGCCCUAAGUAGCACAUAUGCAGUACUAUACCUAAAUUCGUUGGAGGUAAAAUUAAUACAGAGACCCGACUUGGUUCUACGCCCUGAAUUUGCUGGCCCAUCCGUUCAUGAACUCGAGUUGCGUGUUUUCCGGAUUCGCCGGCCUAACGGCUUCUCCGCCACCAAUGCCCUAUUGAACAACGAUCCAAGUCCUGCUGGCGUAUCACAGACCGUGGGGGGACCGAGGUGGUCGUAUCAGCAAGUCGAUUAAAAUGCGUUAAAUGAAUACAUCG
rnacentral:lncRNA from 1 species